GACGAACGCUGGCGGCGUGCUUAACACAUGCAAGUCGAACGGAAAGGCCCCUUUGGGGGUACUCGAGUGGCGAACGGGUGAGUAACACGUGAGUAACCUGCGCUUGACUUCGGGUUAACUUCAGGAAACUGGGGCUAAUACCGGAUAGGAAUCCUUGCUGCAUGGGGGGGGUUGGGAAGCUUCGGCGGCUUUGGAUGGACUCGCGGCUUAUCAGCUUGUUGGUGGGGUAGUGGCUUACCAAGGCUUUGACGGGUAGCUGGCCUGAGGGGGCGAGCGGCCACAUUGAGACUGAGAUACGGCCCAGACUCCUACGGGAGGCAGCAGUGGGGAAUAUUGCACAAUGGGCGGAAGCCUGAUGCAGCAACGCCGCGUGCGGGAUGACGGCCUUCGUGUUGUAAACCGCUUUCAGCAGGGGCGAAGCUUGUGGUGACGGUACCUACAGAAGAAGCACCGGCUAACUACGUG
rnacentral:rRNA from 1 species